ACUUUCAACAACGGAUCUCUUGGUUCUGGCAUCGAUGAAGAACGCAGAGAAAUGCGAUAAGUAGUGUGAAUUGCAGAAUUCAGUGAAUCAUCGAAUUUUUGAACGCAUAUUGCGCCCCUUGGUAUUCCAUGGGGCAUGCCUGUUCGAGCGUCA
rnacentral:rRNA from 1 species